rnacentral:rRNA from 1 species
GCUCAGCGCGAGUGGGCCACAUGGGGAGUACGGGGGGUGAGUGCGUGUAUUGGAAUUAUCGUGCGUAAAGCGUGGGCAGGCGGUGUGUUAGGUCGUCUGUGAAAGCCCCGAGCUUAACUUGGGAAUUGAAGUUGAUACUGGCAAGCUGUAGGACGGUAGAGGAGGGUGGAAUUCCCGGUGUAGCAGUGAAAUGCGUAGAGAUCGGGAGGAACACCAGUGGCGAAGGCGGCCUUCUGGACCAGUACUGACGCUCAUGCACGAAAGCGUGGGGAGCAAACAGGAUUAGAUACCCUGGUAGUC